GUCCAGGUAGCCUAGUGGACAUGGCACCUGCCCAAUAAGCAGAAGGUUGUGGGUUCGAUUCCCGCCCCUAGGACA
rnacentral:tRNA from 1 species